AGUCUGAAGCGAGGCCCCAUAGGAAGCUCCUCUACUUGUCCAAGGGUCUCGGCCAGAGUAGGCAGUGUCAGAGCCUCACACGCAGGGAACAGGCAGUAUUCAAGG